rnacentral:rRNA from 1 species
AGUGAACGCUGGCGGUAGGCCUAACGCAUGCAAGUCGAACGGCAGCACAGUAAGAGCUUGCUCUUACGGGAGGCGAGUGGCGGACGGGUGAGGAAUACAUCGGAAUCUACUUUUUCGUGGGGGAUAACGUAGGGAAACUUACGCUAAUACCGCAUACGACCUACGGGUGAAAGCAGGGGAUCUUCGGACCUUGCGCGAUUGAAUGAGCCGAUGUCGGAUUAGCUAGUUGGCGGGGUAAAGGCCCACCAAGGCGACGAUCCGUAGCUGGUCUGAGAGGAUGAUCAGCCACACUGGAACUGAGACACGGUCCAGACUCCUACGGGAGGCAGCAGUGGGGAAUAUUGGACAAUGGGCGCAAGCCUGAUCCAGCCAUACCGCGUGGGUGAAGAAGGCCUUCGGGUUGUAAAGCCCUUUUGUUGGGAAAGAAAAGCAGCAGGUUAAUACCCCGCUGUUCUGACGGUACCCAAAGAAUAAGCACCGGCUAACUUCGUG